rnacentral:rRNA from 1 species
GAUGAACGCUGGCGGCGUGCCUAAUACAUGCAAGUCGAGCGAACGGACGAGAAGCUUGCUUCUCUGAUGUUAGCGGCGGACGGGUGAGUAACACGUGGAUAACCUACCUAUAAGACUGGGAUAACUUCGGGAAACCGGAGCUAAUACCGGAUAAUAUUUUGAACCGCAUGGUUCAAAAGUGAAAGACGGUCUUGCUGUCACUUAUAGAUGGAUCCGCGCUGCAUUAGCUAGUUGGUAAGGUAACGGCUUACCAAGGCAACGAUGCAUAGCCGACCUGAGAGGGUGAUCGGCCACACUGGAACUGAGACACGGUCCCGACUCCUACGGGAGGCAGCAGUAGGGAAUCUUCCGCAAUGGGCGAACGCCUGACGGAGCAACGCCGCGUGAGUGAUGAAGGUCUUCGGAUCGUAAAACUCUGUUAUUAGGGAAGAACAUAUGUGUAAGUAACUGUGCACAUCUUGACGGUACCUAAUCAGAAAGCCACGGCUAACUACGUG